rnacentral:rRNA from 1 species
UACGUAGGGGGCAAGCGUUGUCCGGAAUGACUGGGCGUAAAGGGUGCGUAGGCGGCCAAGCAAGUUGAAAGUGUAAUACCCGGGCUUAACUCGGGUGCUGCUUUCAAAACUGCAUGGCUUGAGUGUAGCAGGGAAAAGUGGAAUUCCUAGUGUAGCGGUGGAAUGCGUAGAUAUUAGGAGGAACACCAGUGGCGAAGGCGACUUUUUGGGCUAUAACUGACGCUGAGGCACGAAAGUGUGGGGAGCAAAC